rnacentral:rRNA from 1 species
ACGGAAGGCAGCAGUGGGGAAUAUUGGGCAAUGGGGGGAACCCUGACCCAGCAACGCCGCGUGGAGGAAGAAGGUCUUCGGAUCGUAAACUCCUGUCCUCAAAGACGAGAAGAAGACGGUAAUUGAGGAGGAAGCCCCGGCUAACUACGUGCCAGCAGCCGCGGUAAUACGUAGGGGGCAAGCGUUGUCCGGAAUGAUUGGGCGUAAAGGGCGCGUAGGCGGCCUGUUAAGUCUGGAGUGAAAGUCCUGCUUUUAAGGUGGGAAUUGCUUUGGAUACUGAUGGGCUUGAGUGCAGGAGAGGUAAGUGGAAUUCCCAGUGUAGCGGUGAAAUGCGUAGAGAUUGGGAGGAACACCAGUGGCGAAGGCGACUUACUGGACUGUAACUGACGCUGAGGCGCGAAAGUGUGGGGAGCAAACAGGAUUAGAUACCCUGGUA